CUCCCCAUCAUUCUUCACUGGGUCAGGGGUGAAUUUCAGGAUGAGAAAAAUUUCAGAAGCAUCAAUCGCAAUGAUUUGAUUGACAAUUUUCAAUUUCUAGCCUUCAGGGGACUCUCACAUAGUCUUAUGGAAUGGAACCCGAAGUAAACAUGGAGUAGGCAGAGCUCUGAGGUCCUAAACAUCUUUGAGAAAGAGGGAAGGCUAUUGCUUUUAUCAGCACCAGUUAUCAAGGUGUUAAAGAGCUCUGUCUUCAUCUCUGAAUCACACAAUCGCCUUCAUUUUCUUACCAUUUUCUACAAUGCACCAGCAGGACUGUCUUCCCAGGAAUGGUGCCACCUACAGUGGGCUAAACCCUUCCAUAUCCAUCUUUAAUCAAGAAAAUACACUACAGACUUCCUACAGGCCAAUCUGAUGUAAGCAUUUUCUCAAUUUACGUUGCCUUUUCCUAGAUGGCACUAACUUGUUAUUUAACAAUAAACUAACUAUCAUGGUUUGCA